ACGCUGGUAGCUCAAUUGGCAGAGCAGCGGUCUCCAAAACCGCAGGUUGGGGGUUCGACUCCCUCCCAGCGUG
rnacentral:tRNA from 2 species